GUUCGGGUCGGGCCCAGUUCGGGUCAGGACCGUCCAGCGCUCCGGUUCCUCCAGCGGCUGGUUGAUUAGUUUCCUUUGAAGAAAGAAGAACGUGAAUCAGGAACAGACGAGUAAGAAGAUCUGAAGGUCAGAGGUGAAAUCUGGACAUGGCGAACCAGCAGCUGCUCAAGCAGCCAAUCGCUCAACGUUCAUCCGGCCGGUUAAACAACGAGAACAUGGCCGACAUCACGACAGCGGCGCCACAGCAGGAAGAAAUGGAAAACAAGAGGCUGAAAAUGAGAGGAAAACUCAGAGGGCUCCUGACUUCCUGUGUUCAGGUUGAGGAAAUAAAACAUAAUCUGGAGAUUACCUGUUAAUCUGGCCAGACCUGAACAGCAGAGCACAGUCAUCCUGAUCGGUCUGAGCUGUUAACCAGGAUGAGCCGCAUGUCUGUGUAUGGAGGGCCAAAAGGGACAAAAUAAUGAUAAAAAAAUUUAUUACCAUGAAAUAAAUGUUCAUUGUUUACUAGACAA